UUUAUUUUAAUUAAAGUUUUCUUGCUGAACUGUUUCUUUUAAUGCUACACAGCUCCAAAGCUUGGCUUCCUGGGUCCUGGGAUCUACUCAGGUUCCAUUACCAGCACCCUGAAACUGUGGAGACACAAGAAGGACCACUUCCUUUGGGGAAUGUUCUGGAAGCCUCACGUAUGCUGGAAGCCAGUUAACCCUCAGGACAAUGUCAGGGAAAUUGACUGAAGCUCCUUCCAGAGGUGACUUCCUGGUUCCCAAGCUGGCCUGGAAACCCUUACAAGAGCUGCCACUCCAAUGGCUCUCUUAGCUGACACAUGCCUGAUCUCUCAUUGAAUCCAAUUAUGGGAAAACGAUAAAAAGAGCCCGUUUGGCUCCCAGGGACCUGGGAAUUAGAACAUCUGUGACCGCCUUACAAUCCCUUGUCCACACGCCCAGACAGUUUGAGCAUUUUUCAAGUCCACAUUAGUGCCAACCACUUCUUACUCUUUUCCUGGGGAGUAAUGAGCGAGCAGGCUGUGCAAACAGGACAUAGCUGGCUGAGACGGCCAUCCUUAGAAAAGUCUGCUGGUCCAGGAAUGGCUUCCCUGACUAGCAGCCUCAGUACAUGGGACGCUUCCCAGCGUGGGACCACCAGCGAAGACGAGGCCAUGGACAAAACCAUCCGCAACCUGAGGAAGUCUGGUCUCCGACUAACCGGGUCCUGCCUGGGAGGGGUGCUGUUACAAUCUCCCCUCUCCCACCUCAUCUUCCUUCUCAGCCUUGGUUCCUGAUGGGAACAGAAUGGAGGGCCUCAGAAUAUACUUUAUAACGCCUCUGCCCCAGAAAAAGAAAUUAUGAAAUAAAAAUAAAAGGAGGAGAAAGAACUGCUGAAGUCUUACCCACCUAGAGAAAACCAUUUUAUUAGCAUCUGUAGAAUGUUAUUAUCUUCAAUAUUUUCAAUGACAUUUUUUACAGUUAUGGACCUUACAUAUAGUACAUUUAUUAUGCAUAAUGUAUUAAAUAUAUACACUUAUACAUGUUUGUAGAUAUAGACAUUUAUAUUAUACAUUUCUCAAUAUAUAGGCAUUUUAUUUAUAUAGUUCAUAAUGUUUGGGGUACUAUAUAGAUGUUGAUGCUAACAAAGCUGACCCCGUCUUUGUGUGUCCUCUAAUUUCCCCCUAGUUUCCAUGCUGAGUCUCAGCCAGCACCAAAGCCUCAUAGUUAAUGAUUAGCUGUAUCCUGUAACCAAGAUUCCUGUCAGUAAACGGCCAGAAUGGCAUAGCAACCGAGAUAAAUAUCAAACAAGGUACUGGCAUCGAUUGUAAGCAAUUAUCCAUCAUAAGACCACCAGGAGGUAUGGUUCCUGACUCAAGCUACAUUCUUUGUCCCUUCGCCUUGUCAAUCAUUAGUAGUUCAGCUGUACUAGAAAACAUCUACUGUAACAACUGUAGAGCAGGGGAGAGUAAUCUGUGUAGACUACUGAGUCGUCUUUUCUAUCCCGACUCAAUCUUCCCUGUAAGUAAAUUACCUUACAAUAAAUUCUGUUAUAUUCAAUGAA